rnacentral:rRNA from 1 species
ACGGAGGAUGCGAGCGUUAUCCGGAUUUAUUGGGCGUAAAGCGAGCGCAGGCGGUUUUUUAAGUCUGAUGUGAAAGCCCUCGGCUUAACCGAGGAAGUGCAUCGGAAACUGGAGAACUUGAAUGCAGAAGAGGAGAGUGGAACUCCAUGUGUAGCGGUGAAAUGCGUAGAUAUAUGGAAGAACACCAGUGGCGAAGGCGGCUCUCUGGUCUGUAAUUGACGCUGAGGCUCGAAAGCGUGGGUAGCAAACAG